UAAGGAAUAUUGGUCAAUGGACGCAAGUCUGAACCAGCCAUGCCGCGUGGAGGAUGAAGGCCCUCUGGGUUGUAAACUUCUUUUAUAGGGGAAGAAACCGGACUUUUCUAAGGCCGUUGACGGUACCCUGUGAAUAAGCACCGGCUAACUCCGUGCCAGCAGCCGCGGUAAUACGGAGGGUGCAAGCGUUAUCCGGAUUCACUGGGUUUAAAGGGUGCGUAGGUGGGCAGGUAAGUCAGUGGUGAAAUCUCCAAGCUUAACUUGGAAACUGCCGUUGAUACUAUCUGUCUUGAAUGUAGUGGAGGUGAGCGGAAUAUGUCAUGUAGCGGUGAAAUGCUUAGAUAUGACAUAGAACAUCGAUUGCGAAGGCAGCUCGCUACACUAUUAUUGACACUGAGGCACGAAAGCGUGGGGAUCAAACA
rnacentral:rRNA from 1 species